rnacentral:rRNA from 1 species
UACGUAGGGUGCAAGCGUUAAUCGGAAUUACUGGGCGUAAAGCGUGCGCAGGCGGCUUUGCAAGACAGAUGUGAAAUCCCCGGGCUUAACCUGGGAACUGCAUUUGUGACUGCAUGGCUGGAGUGCGGCAGAGGGGGAUGGAAUUCCGCGUGUAGCAGUGAAUGCGUAGAUAUGCGGAGGAACACCGAUGGCGAAGGCAAUCCCCUGGGCCUGCACUGACGCUCAUGCACGAAAGCGUGGGGAGCAAACGGG